AGGACACCAAACGGCUGGUUUUUGCACGCCCGAUGCGAGCCAGGGAAACAAACACGCCCCUAGGGUUUUUCUUUUUCCUGUGCACAACCAAACCCGGCGGCGCCCUCCUCCGGCCCUCCCCACUUCCCCCACUGCCAUCUGGCGCCCUCCUCCGCAGCGCCACCGCCCCGGCGCCCGGCGGCUCGUUUGCUCGCGCGGCCGCCCCUUACCGGCGACCCCCCUGGACUCUCCCCGUCUCGGGCAGGCAGAGAAACGGCGAUGACGGCCGCCGUCGCCGGAGCGGACGACGAGAGGAAAGCGCAGGCCCUCGUGCGGGAUGACGCGCCCAAGCUGCUCGCCGCUCUCAAGGAAAUGAAGGACGGGCUCGACCUCGUCAGGUCCAAGGUCGAGUCGCUCACCCGCAAGGUUAGGAAAAACCAGCUGCCGACAGGCGAUGGCAUUGGGUACCUGGAGGCCAAGCACCACCUGCUACUGAGCUACUGCCAGGACCUCGUCUACUACCUACUACGCAAGGCCAAGGGACUGUCCGUCGAUGGCCACCCCGUUGUGCGCAGCCUUGUCGAGAUCAGGCUGUUUCUUGAGAAGAUUCGCCCAAUAGACAAGAAGAUGGAGUACCAGAUCCAGAAGCUCACCAAUGCUGCAGAUGGUGCGGCUGCCCAGGAUAAGGUGCCAGAUGCUGAGGUCAAUGUCAAGGGCAGGCAACAAGGCGAGGACGACCUGUUGGGGUACCGGCCAAACCCGGAUAUGAUGGAUCCCAAAAUUGUUUCUGAAGGACAGGGCAAAGAUGGUAUCUACGUUCCUCCGAGAAUUGGGCCAGCUGCCAUGGAUGAUAGUCAUAGUAAAGACGCUGUAAGGAAAGAGAAAAGAUUAUUGCGUAUGGCAACAGAGAAUCCUUACUUCAAGGAGAUGAUUGAUGAUGCUGCUGAUAGACCUGAAGAGUGGAAGGAAACAGCGGGUGACGAAAGCAAAGAAUUUAUGGCCUACAUGCGGCAGAGAGAGAAGCAAGAGAAGGCGGAAGAGGAGCUGUUCACCCGAGCUCCCGUCACCAAACGUGAAAAGUACAUGGAGAAGCAGAUGAAAAAGCAGCUUCAUGGAUUACAAGGCCUGACCGACGGAUUCGACCUCGGGAUGAACACGCUGCUCGAUGGCGAGAAGGAAGACGACGGUGGUUCCAGCGAGCCGCGUAGACAGAGCGCGGGGCGGAGAAAACACCAGAAAGGAGGCAAGAGGAAGCGGCAUUAAUUCAGACCUGACAAUGACAGUCCUCUGAAAUUUUGCCGUGUUCUCAAUCCAAACAAGAGAUUUUGGUACCACUAGAAACUGAACCAAUUGUGCACCGUAGGAACAGAGAUGAAUUUUGCCUAGAAGCAGCAGUUUUGUCCUUGAGACGAUUGCCGCUUGUUUAUCCUCAGCUGUUUGCCUGUGUUUUCCGGUUCUGACUCCUUUGAAUCUGUUAUAUGUGUAUGAAAAGAUGUUCUGUUGA